rnacentral:tRNA from 2 species
GGAGCUGUGCCAGAGUGGUUGAUCGGGGCGCCCUGCUAAGGCGUUAAAGGUUUUUAUAUCUUUCGAUGGUUCGAAUCCAUUCAGCUCCG